GAUGAACGCUAGCGGCAGGCUUAACACAUGCAAGUCGAGGGGUAUUUAUCUUCGGAUAGAGAGACCGGCGCACGGGUGCGUAACGCGUAUGCAAUCUACCUUUCACAGAGGGAUAGCCCAGAGAAAUUUGGAUUAAUACCUCAUAGUAUAGCGACCUGGCAUCAGGAUGUUAUUAAAGUCACAACGGUGAAAGAUGAGCAUGCGUCCCAUUAGCUAGUUGGUAAGGUAACGGCUUACCAAGGCUACGAUGGGUAGGGGUCCUGAGAGGGAGAUCCCCCACACUGGUACUGAGACACGGACCAGACUCCUACGGGAGGCAGCAGUGAGGAAUAUUGGAUAAUGGGCGCAAGCCUGAUCCAGCCAUGCCGCGUGCAGGAUGACGGUCCUAUGGAUUGUAAACUGCUUUUAUACGAGAAGAAACAACAUUACGUGUAAUGUCUUGACGGUAUCGUAAG
rnacentral:rRNA from 1 species